rnacentral:rRNA from 1 species
UACGUAGGGGGCUAGCGUUGUCCGGAUUUAUUGGGCGUAAAGAGCGUGUAGGCGGCUAGGUAGGUCCGUUGUGAAAACUCGAGGCUCAACCUCGAGACGCCGAUGGAAACCAUCUAGCUAGAGUCCGGAAGAGGAGAGUGGAAUUCCUGGUGUAGCGGUGAAAUGCGCAGAUAUCAGGAGGAACACCGGUGGCGAAGGCGGGUCUCUGGGCCGAUACUGACGCUGAGGAGCGAAAGCGUGGGGAGCGAACAGG